AGAGUUUGAUCAUGGCUCAGAAUCAACGCUGGCGGCGUGCCUAACACAUGCAAGUCGAACGAGAAAGGGGAGCAAUCCCUGAGUAAAGUGGCGCACGGGUGAGUAACACGUGACUAACCUACCCUGGAGUGGGGGAUAACUGAGGGAAACCUUAGCUAAUACCGCAUAAUACCCACGGGUCAAAGGAGCAAUUCGCUCCAGGAGGGGGUCGCGGCCGAUUAGCUAGUUGGCGGGGUAAUGGCCCACCAAGGCGAUGAUCGGUAUCCGGCCUGAGAGGGCGCACGGACACACUGGAACUGAAACACGGUCCAGACUCCUACGGGAGGCAGCAGUGGGGAAUUUUGCGCAAUGGGGGAAACCCUGACGCAGCAACGCCGCGUGGAGGAUGAAGUACUUCGGUACGUAAACUCCUUUCGAUCGGGACGAUUAUGACGGUACCGAGAGAAGAAGCCCCGGCUAACUUCGUGCCAGCAGCCGCGGUAAUACGAGGGGGGCGAGCGUUGUUCGGAAUUAUUGGGCGUAAAGGGUGCGUAGGCGGUUUGGUAAGUCUGAUGUGAAAUCUAUGGGCUCAACUCAUAGUCUGCAUCGGAAACUGCCGGGCUUGAGUGUGGGAGAGGUGAGUGGAAUUUCCGGUGUAGCGGUGAAAUGCGUAGAUAUCGGAAGGAACGCCUGUGGCGAAAGCGGCUCACUGGACCACAACUGACGCUGAUGCACGAAAGCUAGGGGAGCAAACAGGAUUAGAUACCCUAGUAGUCC
rnacentral:rRNA from 1 species